rnacentral:rRNA from 1 species
ACACCGCCCGUCGUUCCACCCGAGCGACUCUUGGGUGAGGCGUGGUCUUUAUUGGCUGUGUCGAAUCUGAGUUUCGUAAGGGGGGAAAAGUCGUAACAAGGUGGCCGUAGGGGAACCUGCGGCCGGAUCACCUCCUAAGAAA